rnacentral:misc_RNA from 1 species
CACGCCCUGAAAUGAAAAUCCAUUUGGUUCCAAUUCGAAGUCACGUUAAAGCUCUCCUUUCCGGUUUUAAAUUCUCAAAUUAUGGCUAACAUUUCUCAUCUCCAUCGCUACCUUUACCAUGACUCCGCCGUCGACGACUCUCACCAGCGUCAUCACAACUACCGCCGUCCACACCGCCCUCGUAACUUAACUGUCGACCAUCUCUUCUCCUCUUCCUCUUCUGAUCCUCACUCCCCGCACGCCACUCUCCACGACCCCUACCCACUUUCCGAACACACUAAUUUCAAUAUUCGGACCCUGGGCGACGACGACGUCUCGGAUCCUGAAUCAGUUAUCCUCGGAGGCCCAGAUCUCCUGGAUCGUGAGAAUCAGGUUAGUUUCGUGUUGGAUCUGUUUCAACAGCGAGUCGAGCAGUCUCAGGUAAUGGGUCGUAGUUCUCAUUUGGUAUCUGAUGCGCUUAACGAAUCGGACUUUGGUG